GAUGAACGCUGGCGGCGUGCCUAAUACAUGCAAGUCGAGCGAACAGACGAGGAGCUUGCUCCUCUGACGUUAGCGGCGGACGGGUGAGUAACACGUGGAUAACCUACCUAUAAGACUGGGAUAACUUCGGGAAACCGGAGCUAAUACCGGAUAACAUGGUGAACCGCAUGGUUCAACAGUGAAAGACGGUCUUGCUGUCACUAAUAGAUGGAUCCGCGCCGCAUUAGCUAGUUGGUAAGGUAACGGCUUACCAAGGCAACGAUGCGUAGCCGACCUGAGAGGAUGAUCAGCCACACUGGAACUGAGACACGGUCCAGACUCCUACGGGAGGCAGCAGUGGGGAAUCUUCGGCAAUGGGCGAAAGCCUGACGGAGCAACGCCGCGUGAGUGAAGAAGGUCUUCGGAUCGUAAAACUCUGUUAUUAGGGAAGAACAAAUGUGUGAGUAAAUCUGCCCGCCUUGACGGUACCUAAUCAGAAAGCCACGGCUAACUACGUG
rnacentral:rRNA from 1 species